CCCAAUCCUCCCAGCAUCAGAGUCUUUUCCAAUGAGUCAACUCUUUGUAUGAGGUGGCCAAAGUACUGGAGUUUCAGCUUUAGCAUCAUUCCUUCCAAAGAACACCCAGGGCUGAUCUCCUUUAGAAUGGACUGGUUCAGCUUCAUAGAUACCUUCAAUUGUGUCAUAUUUUAUAUUGCUCAUAUAUGUGAUAUCAUAUAGCAUUUGUCUUUCUCUCCCUGACAUACUUCACUUAGUAUGAGAAUCUCUAGUUGCAUCCCUGUUGCUGCAAAUGGCAUUUUUCAUUCUCUUUUAUGCUUGAGUAAUAUUCCAUUGUAUAUAUGUACCACUUCUUCUCUAUCAAUUCAUUUGUCGAUGGACACUUAGGUUGCUUCCAUGUCUUGGAUAUUGUAAAUAGAGCUGCUAUGAACAUAGGAGUGUGUAUAUCUUUUAGAAUUAAGAGUUUUCUUCUGGAUAUAUGCCCAGAAGUGGGGUUGUUCUGGCUGUUGUGAAUGCCUGAAUCUUGACAACAAUCUUCACAUGCUAAAGAAACAUAAUAAACUAGAAGUUGAGUGCUUCCUUCAAGAACAUGUUCCGCCCAGCAGAGUAUCAGUAGUCAAUUUUCUCCAUUUUUCGUGCUCAUUAUUUCAGGAGAUUCCGUUUGAUGAGAGAGCUGCACAUACAAGAGACUUGCGGGAAGCAUGGACCUUAGUGAAAAAUGGCCUUUGGAGGAAGGAACCUGGCUGUCUCACGCUGGAGUUCAUCAUUUUGCCAACACCAGAGGGGACAACGAGUUUGUGGAAGCCUCUCCCGCGCCCUACAGCCCGGAGGAGUUCGGUAAGUCUGCCCUUUUUGCCUUUUCUUGUUAGAACCCAGCCUGGGAAUCGCGAAUUUGGAGUCCAUGCCCGAGGGGCGGAGAGAAAGGGCUGGCUGGGGACUCUCGCCCUGCUGCACGUUCCUUUGCUGUGAGAACUGGCCUUUUCCUGGAGCGUGAGCUUUGGAGGUGGCAGGGUGAGAGUCGGCUGUGCGGUGUGUGCGUGUGUGUGUGUGUCCUGGUCUUUGGUGAUGCUCCCAGGAGCGCCACAGCAAACUUCCUGAUCUGCGGGACCCUGCAAGCAGGCGGUCUCAUCCUGCCUGGAAAGAUGUAGCUAGCCGGUAAAUGCCACAAG
rnacentral:lncRNA from 1 species